AAGCACUAGUGAAGAAAUCGGAACAGAACUUUGCACAAAUACUAUAUUUAUAGUGUGGCAUCGCUCUUCUAAAAAUCGUCGAAAUCGGACCAUACAUUUUCAAGGCCCCAUAUAUCGAACAUGAGGACCUCAGGGGUUCUAGUUUUUUUUAUCGGAAAUAUAAGUAAGUCCCUCAGAUAUUUUGAUGAAUUUCGGAGGAAAUAUGUUUUUAUUGCCAUAUACAUUAUAUUAGAGUUUCCAACUUUCAAUGGACUUUGUACCAUAUACAUAUAUGCCGAAUAUGUGGGUCAAAUUGUGUGUUAUAUUAAGGAAAUUGAAUAAAUAAAUUGCGAGAGUUACACCCGAACUUAGCCCUUCCUUACUUGUUAUUCAUAAAUAGAGGGAGUGAAAUGUACAAAGACAGCAAGUAAAAUGUUUCACGAAAUUUUUUAAUUGAAAAUUAAGUGCCAUUUAAUUAUACUCUCGCAACAAAGUUGCUACAGAGAGUAUUAUAGUUUUGUUCACAUAACGGUUGUUUGUAACACCCAAAACUAAACGAGUUAGAUAUAGGUUUAUAUAUACCAAAGUGAUUAGGGUGAAGAGUUGAGUUCAAAUCCGAAUGUCUGUCUGUCUGUCCGUCCGUCCGUCCGUCUGUGCAAGCUGGCACACUUAUUUCUUGGCACCAUAGGAAGGUUGCUUUCGAAAAUGAGCAAAAAUCGGACCACUGCCACGCCCACAAAAUGACGAAAACCGAAAACACAUAAAGUAUCAUAACUAGCCAUAAAUAAAGCUAUGGAAAUAAAAUUUGGUAAGAAGGGGCAUAUUUGGAUUUAUUUUUUUAGGGGAAGUGGGCGUAGCCCCGUUCCCAAAAAGGUUUUUUGUAUAUAUCUCACAAACCAAUAGAGCUAUAUAAACCAAACUUUCUGCAGUCGUUUUUUUUAUCCACUUAUUAAUACAGUCCAAAAAUGAAAGAAAUCAGAUAAUAACCACACCCAGCUCCCAUACAAAGGUUAGGUUGAAAAUUACUAAAAGUGGGUUAACUCACUAACGAAACCAUGCUUCAGUAAAAUGUUGUGAAGAAUUGUACAUGCGUAAAUAAUCAUAGCUGCUUUUUCAUUGCUGUAAUGAAGAAUGCGGUGUUUUGAGAGGCAUCGGAAUCGAGACUUCAAUGCACCAAUGGCUCUCUCAAUGGUAUUGCGUGCUUUGGCGUGUAAUAUUAUGUUCCCACAGAAAAAUUGAAGUAAUUAGAUUAUAUUUAAACGCUUAACAAAACUACCCUGUUCUCACUGCCGUUGGAGAUUUACGAAUCAGCUGUUUUUGACAUUCAGGCAUAAACACCAAAUAUUUAUUAAAGGAAAAUAUUGUAAUGUCGUACUUUGUUAUAAAAAUUGUCUUUUUUUUUAUAAAUAUUCUCCACUCAAUGGAAAUAAUUGAGGAAUUGUUUGAUUUGAACCGCCUAGCAAUGAAACCUUUGUUGCAUGCACACAUAAUACUCAAAAUGGGUAGUCUACAUGGAGCAAAUUCAACAAGGUCUAUUUGGAUGAAGACUCGUGGCUAAAUGUUUUGGGAAGUCGAUUGCCAGGUGAAUUCAGAUGCAUUCUUUAAAAUCACUGUCUGCUCCAUUCUAAUUGAGUUCUGCCAUGAAGUCUGGCGAUGUUUGUGGCCAUUGUAUUUGAAGAAAUUCCCAAUGAACGAAUUUCAAGUGCGGGAGUAUAUAAAUGGUUUUGAGUCAUUGGGUUUCCCUCAAGUGUUAGGAGCUAUAGAUGGUUGUCAUAUAGAAGUUCGCCCAGCAGCAGAAGAUGCUGUUUACUACUACAAUUACAAAGUCUGGUAUUCCACAGUUCCUUUGGCUUUAGUAGAUGCAAGGUAAGUUUUUUCAUGAAGCUCUUUUUUUUAAUGUAUUUCUUUAAUGUUAUAGAUGACGCUUUAUAUACAUCAACGUUGGUAGUCCAGGCCGUUGUAAUGACUCUUCAAUAUUUGAGAGUUCAUCUUUAAAAAGCCAGUUGGCACAAUCUAGUUUAUUUAAAGACAUGAGUGGACAAAUUUCGUCAAUUAAUGUUCCAGUAGUUUUAUUGGGCGACUCUGCGUUCAAAUUAGAUGAACAUUUGAUGAAACCCUACCCUUUUUGUGUAAACCAACCUUUGGAUAAAAAAAAAUUUAACUAUGUUCUCUCGAAAUGUCGAAGAGUGGUGGAGAAUGCUUUCGGUCAUUUAAAGGCAAGGUUUAGACGCGUUGGCAAAGGCUUGGAUAACCACAUGGUCAACACGAGAGCUGUUAUCAAAGCGUGCUGCGUUUUGCAUAACCUUUUAAAUGAGGAAAGUGAUGAAAUUAAUGAAAAGUGGAUUGCAGCACAACAAAUCGAAAACGAAACUCGACAGUUGCCAGAAAACGUCUCUUACGUUUGUGGAUAUGUUAUCCCAAGAGCAGAGGAAAUAAGACAAG